UAAAACCCAAGCCGAACCUGGACGUCAGGCUUCGGGCCGGGCCGUCAUCGCACGAGGCCGCACGACCUCGCUCGGUUCCUCCUUUUGCCGUGGCCGUGCCGCACCGCCGCCUCUUCUCCCGGCUGCACUCCCCCUGUCUUCCUCUCCUCCCGAGCCGGCGUCGCGCGCCCUGUGUUCCCGAGCAAGCGCCGGCCUCUCCCAUCCUCCCGAGCUCCUAUCCUUCUCCAGUUCUCCUCACCCGCACCUCCUAUUCCUCUCGUCCGCUCGCGCGCACUUCGGCCAUGGCCGCUGGGUUGAACCGGGAGAGAUCGAGAGAGAGAUGCAGAAUUACAGAUACAGUGGGUCAGAGGCGCUGCCGGGCGUGUCCCUCCAGUGCCAGCAUUUUAAGGCCCGAUGGCCUUUUGAGGAUGACAGAGGCCUCGUGAACACUUAACAGGCAGCUGGAUCCUUCAAAACCUUGAGGAGCCAUUGAGCUAUGUCUAUGUGACAGAAGCAUCUGUCACUCCGAUAGAUGACUCUAGUAGAGGUCUUCACAAUUUCUCAGGUUUGCCAAUGUCCGACGAUGAACAGCAAAACCUGGUGCUAAAAUCGAUUAUAACUUCGAUUUUAGAUUACUGUGAAGUUAUGUUGCUUAUCUUUGUAUCAAUUAGUUAGCAGUUGUUUCAUAUUAACAUAGUUUUACAGAGGUCUGAGGUAAAUCAAGAUGCUAUUAUCCUAGUAGUCUAGCAAGUAGCACGUUCCACCAUGUCCAUCCAUUUAUGUUUGAAUCGAUGACUAUUUUGAUUUUUGCUGCUGGCAGAAAAAAACAAUGCUGCUUCUCAGGCUCUAGAAAUAACUCCUAGCAGCUUGCAUAUAUCUCAUACUUGCGUUUUGAUUUGGGUGCUGAUGUUGCAUGUAGCCGAAAUGUGGACAAUUGUACAUGGUAUAUGUAUUUAGCACAUUGUCAAACUUGGGAUAAAUAUUGCGUGAAUAUGAAGUGCAAGAACUGUUCUAAGGAACCUAGAUGCUCAAACUAUCUUCCUUUUUCUGGAAUGGUGAUGUAAGUUUAUUGAAAAAUCGGGUCAAAAAAAGUUUAUUAAAAAAAGUAAAGGUUUGCAAUAUUGCAAAACAUGUCCCCUGAACUUCUUGGUAUUAUUCUAAUAUAAGAUGUUAUAAGGUUUUAUCAAACAUCCGGUGUAUAAUACUUGUUAACUAAAGACUGUUUAUAUUAUAUUUCCGCAGAUAGGGCGUUGUUAUGUACUGAAGAUAUCGCAUGUCCCAUGGUUUAGUGAGGAUGAGAGCAAUCGCUCUGGAGAACCAAGCAAUAUUGUGUGUUUCCUUAAAAACCGUCCUUCUUUCUUCAGUGCUUGUAGAGUUCUUUAAGUACUAAUAUGUGCAUAUCUAGAUGCUCCUCGUUUCGUAGAAUAGCAUGCUAUAUGAAACAAGUAAACAUAAACAAAUAAAUGAUAAAGCAUGUUCAUAGUUGAUAAGUCAUUGUCCUCACUUACUGCAUUCUAGGUCAUCAUGUAUGAAAAGAAAACUGGGCUUUUAAUCCCUCUGAUAGAUCAUUUUACUCUACCCCUUUUUGCAUGGUGUGUGGAUUUUCAGUCUUGGAUUAGAGCGAUGCUGAUGGAAGUUCUGCCUAUAUACUUCAAAUGUCAAUGUGUAACCUUCUGUACCUUUUGUUUGCAAAUCUAUACCCUCUGUACCUUUCAACUACACCAACUGAUAAAUCAUUUAUUAUUUAUCAAAAUGCAGUUGUUAGCUGAUGCUUUACUUUUGUUUAUCAAGGUUAUGUUCUUUGUGCACUCUACUGGGAGAGCCACAUGAAUAUGAUCCAUGUUAUUUUGUGAGUUGGAAUUGUUUGCAUGAUCUGUAGCAGAUGGGUUUUGAAGUGAUAUAAAGUCUGAAAAUCUGUAUAUAUGAUAAGUAGGCAAUGCGCAUCUUGAAGUAUCAUUAGUGAUCUCUUGAAACAUCAUUUGUGUGAGGGACAAAUAAGCGCCCAUAGAAAGUUGAGAUGGGAUGAACUCUACAAGAAUUGGGUGUUGGUGGAAAGAGGCAUACAGAAACACAAAUGAUGGAACAGUUUUUGGGUUGCUUAAGCAAGUACAUAAACUAUGUCUGCAAUCGAACAAGCGACUGAAAAAUUAUUGUUAACACAAAGUUUAUGGUUUCUUAAGGUUCAGUUAAUUAUUUGCGGAAAUUUCCAGAGGAUGUAAAAUAUGCUUGCAUCUUUGCCUGGUAUGAACAAAGGCCAUUAUUGAAAGGACGAUGGUACACAAUGGAUUGUGUCUGUUGCACACUCGCACUAUAGUCGGUCCCUGUUUCUAUCCAGUCAAAGUGCAUGUAGUAAACCGGUAGUGUGUUUCUACUUCAGUGCCUGGUUUUGAGAUAUGCUGAAAAAACUUGUUGGUAUUGCAAGUGAAGCUAGUGCGUCAGUCAGUUGUGGUUCUGAUCUUCUGGGCAGCUGCAAGGAGUUCAUUGCAGCAUCAAAAUUUGAAUCGUAAGUGUGGUUUGGUAAACAUUGUAACAUUCUGCUAUCUUUCUCACUGGUGGAAUACCAUGGUCCAUGACUAGGUACUAUCUUGCCUUGUUUUAUUCCUUUCAUGCUUGCAUGGACUGUAGCAGUUACUUUUACAUGACUUGUUAAGAGGCAGAGCUUAAGCCGCUUACUUUGUCUUUUGUCCGAUGUGCAAAUAUGCUUAUGCUGCACUGAUCAUGAUUUAGAAGUUAGAAGGCUCUGGUUCAAAACAUCUUCAUUUUCUUAUCUGUUUUCACUGAUCUCAUGUUUGGGCUUUGCAAUUGUCUCUAUCAGAUCUUCUCCAGUGCACUGGUGUAAAAUCGAUAUUGAAUUGCAUCGGAUAUUCGGAUGUCCUGAUCUCAACGAGCAUUCUGGAGAGGCAGUAAAGCGAGAUCGUUACUUGUCUUGAUUUCAUCUCUGAAGAUCAAUGCUACAAAUGUAAGGCUGGAGUUGAACAUGGGAGUACAUGUGUAAAUAAAUCGGCGAGUUGAAAAAAGGCUGGGAAAUUGAUUUAGGCGAAAGGCUGGUAAAUUGAUUUAGGCGAUUUCUCC